rnacentral:rRNA from 1 species
GGGUUGUGAGGUUAAGCGACUAAGCGUACACGGUGGAUGCCCUGGCAGUCAGAGGCGAUGAAGGACGUGCUAAUCUGCGAUAAGCGUCGGUAAGGUGAUAUGAACCGUUAUAACCGGCGAUUUCCGAAUGGGGAAACCCAGUGUGUUUCGACACACUAUCAUUAACUGAAUCCAUAGGUUAAUGAGGCGAACCGGGGGAACUGAAACAUCUAAGUACCCCGAGGAAAAGAAAUCAACCGAGAUUCCCCCAGUAGCGGCGAGCGAACGGGGAGCAGCCCAGAGCCUGAAUCAGUAUGUGUGUUAGUGGAAGCGUCUGGAAAGGCGCGCGAUACAGGGUGACAGCCCCGUACACAAAAAUGCACAUAUUGUGAGCUCGAUGAGUAGGGCGGGACACGUGGUAUCCUGUCUGAAUAUGGGGGGACCAUCCUCCAAGGCUAAAUACUCCUGACUGACCGAUAGUGAACCAGUACCGUGAGGGAAAGGCGAAAAGAACCCCGGCGAGGGGAGUGAAAAAGAACCUGAAACCGUGUACGUACAAGCAGUGGGAGCACGCUUCGGCGUGUGACUGCGUACCUUUUGUAUAAUGGGUCAGCGACUUAUAUUCUGUAGCAAGGUUAACCGAAUAGGGGAGCCGAAGGGAAACCGAGUCUUAACUGGGCGUUAAGUUGCAGGGUAUAGACCCGAAACCCGGUGAUCUAGCCAUGGGCAGGUUGAAGGUUGGGUAACACUAACUGGAGGACCGAACCGACUAAUGUUGAAAAAUUAGCGGAUGACUUGUGGCUGGGGGUGAAAGGCCAAUCAAACCGGGAGAUAGCUGGUUCUCCCCGAAAGCUAUUUAGGUAGCGCCUCGUGAAUUCAUCUCCGGGGGUAGAGCACUGUUUCGGCAAGGGGGUCAUCCCGACUUACCAACCCGAUGCAAACUGCGAAUACCGGAGAAUGUUAUCACGGGAGACACACGGCGGGUGCUAACGUCCGUCGUGAAGAGGGAAACAACCCAGACCGCCAGCUAAGGUCCCAAAGUCAUGGUUAAGUGGGAAACGAUGUGGGAAGGCCCAGACAGCCAGGAUGUUGGCUUAGAAGCAGCCAUCAUUUAAAGAAAGCGUAAUAGCUCACUGGUCGAGUCGGCCUGCGCGGAAGAUGUAACGGGGCUAAACCAUGCACCGAAGCUGCGGCAGCGACGCUUAUGCGUUGUUGGGUAGGGGAGCGUUCUGUAAGCCUGUGAAGGUGUGCUGUGAGGCAUGCUGGAGGUAUCAGAAGUGCGAAUGCUGACAUAAGUAACGAUAAAGCGGGUGAAAAGCCCGCUCGCCGGAAGACCAAGGGUUCCUGUCCAACGUUAAUCGGGGCAGGGUGAGUCGACCCCUAAGGCGAGGCCGAAAGGCGUAGUCGAUGGGAAACAGGUUAAUAUUCCUGUACUUGGUGUUACUGCGAAGGGGGGACGGAGAAGGCUAUGUUGGCCGGGCGACGGUUGUCCCGGUUUAAGCGUGUAGGCUGGUUUUCCAGGCAAAUCCGGAAAAUCAAGGCUGAGGCGUGAUGACGAGGCACUACGGUGCUGAAGCAACAAAUGCCCUGCUUCCAGGAAAAGCCUCUAAGCAUCAGGUAACAUCAAAUCGUACCCCAAACCGACACAGGUGGUCAGGUAGAGAAUACCAAGGCGCUUGAGAGAACUCGGGUGAAGGAACUAGGCAAAAUGGUGCCGUAACUUCGGGAGAAGGCACGCUGAUAUGUAGGUGAAGCGACUUGCUCGUGGAGCUGAAAUCAGUCGAAGAUACCAGCUGGCUGCAACUGUUUAUUAAAAACACAGCACUGUGCAAACACGAAAGUGGACGUAUACGGUGUGACGCCUGCCCGGUGCCGGAAGGUUAAUUGAUGGGGUCAGCGCAAGCGAAGCUCUUGAUCGAAGCCCCGGUAAACGGCGGCCGUAACUAUAACGGUCCUAAGGUAGCGAAAUUCCUUGUCGGGUAAGUUCCGACCUGCACGAAUGGCGUAAUGAUGGCCAGGCUGUCUCCACCCGAGACUCAGUGAAAUUGAACUCGCUGUGAAGAUGCAGUGUACCCGCGGCAAGACGGAAAGACCCCGUGAACCUUUACUAUAGCUUGACACUGAACAUUGAGCCUUGAUGUGUAGGAUAGGUGGGAGGCUUUGAAGUGUGGACGCCAGUCUGCAUGGAGCCGACCUUGAAAUACCACCCUUUAAUGUUUGAUGUUCUAACGUUGACCCGUAAUCCGGGUUGCGGACAGUGUCUGGUGGGUAGUUUGACUGGGGCGGUCUCCUCCUAAAGAGUAACGGAGGAGCACGAAGGUUGGCUAAUCCUGGUCGGACAUCAGGAGGUUAGUGCAAUGGCAUAAGCCAGCUUGACUGCGAGCGUGACGGCGCGAGCAGGUGCGAAAGCAGGUCAUAGUGAUCCGGUGGUUCUGAAUGGAAGGGCCAUCGCUCAACGGAUAAAAGGUACUCCGGGGAUAACAGGCUGAUACCGCCCAAGAGUUCAUAUCGACGGCGGUGUUUGGCACCUCGAUGUCGGCUCAUCACAUCCUGGGGCUGAAGUAGGUCCCAAGGGUAUGGCUGUUCGCCAUUUAAAGUGGUACGCGAGCUGGGUUUAGAACGUCGUGAGACAGUUCGGUCCCUAUCUGCCGUGGGCGCUGGAGAACUGAGGGGGGCUGCUCCUAGUACGAGAGGACCGGAGUGGACGCAUCACUGGUGUUCGGGUUGUCAUGCCAAUGGCACUGCCCGGUAGCUAAAUGCGGAAGAGAUAAGUGCUGAAAGCAUCUAAGCACGAAACUUGCCCCGAGAUGAGUUCUCCCUGACUCCUUGAGAGUCCUGAAGGAACGUUGAAGACGACGACGUUGAUAGGCCGGGUGUGUAAGCGCAGCGAUGCGUUGAGCUAACCGGUACUAAUGAACCGUGAGGCUUAACCUUACAACGCCGAAG